rnacentral:lncRNA from 1 species
UGCGGUCGUAUAAAAACUAUUCUUAAUUUUAUAAGUAAAUACGAUAUAUUUUUCCCUCUUGCAAAAUAACUUAUACACAAUAAACCACAACAAAUAUAAAAAUAAAAUAAACUAAUUUAUCUAACAAAUUAUCAAAAAUAAACCUCUUGCAAUAAAACCAACACUUGCAGCACAUACACUAUCUGUGUCCAGUUACAAAAAAUAUCAAGAUCAAGGAAUAAAAAGGUGGUUCAUAUUUCCAUUAAUAACAGAAAUAAGCUUCCGACAACUUAGUUUAUUUUUCAUAGAAUAAACUGUAAGCUUUAGAAAUUCAGUAUGAAAACAUUUUCAGAAAUAACAUUUCCCCCAAAAGUUAAAAUAUGCCAUUCAUCAAAUUUAUAGACAAAAUAAGUGCAAAGUGCACGAUACAAGCAUCUGUUGUUAUAUUCUCUAAAUUAAUACCUUGUAAUAGUACAACAUUUACAGGACAUACAAAGUAUGUGUACAGAUACAAAGGAUAUCAAGAGCAAACAAUAAAUUAAGAAAUAAUUCAUGGGGGCUUCAAUAUAUCGUGAUUUUACCACGGGUUGGCCCUUUAUGACAAAUAUUUUACCCUGAGCGAUAGCAAGGGGAAAAUAUCGGCAUAAAGGGCCAACCUGUGGUAAAAUCACGAUAUAUUCAAGCCCCAUGAAUUAUUUCGAUUCUAAUAGGACAAAUACGGCAAUUCUUUUAGAUCAAAACACUCUACGUGGAGGCAAGUAUUUCCGUUCCCAUAAAUAAACACAUUAUUAAAUUGGCGUAAAAGAACGGAACAAACUGAAUUAGUGACAUGCUUAAACUAUUUACAAAAAUGCAAUUAGAUAGUUUUGGAUGAAUUUAAAUGAUAAUUUACUUAUAUUUCUCUAAAGAUAUAAAAACAUAUGGCUUAUAACACAUCGUUUGUUGACGUGUCCUUGUUGUGAUGUUUUGGGUCUCACCAGCGUGUAUUUUCCCCGUAAAAUGCUUAUAAGCUUACAACAUUGUUCUAUGACGUCGGGAAGCUCAUUCAUAAAAAAAGAAGACGACGUGGGAGUAUAAUCGGCACAGCCCAAACAAUAUAUUCAAAUUUUACCACGGGUGUGUACCCAAAGCGUUUGAAGGACGCCAUUUUAGAAUGUAAUGUAUAUAUUUCCAUAACUGAAAAAGCUUCAAACAAAGUUUAUUUUUCACAGAAAAAAAAUAUUUUGCUUUAGAAAUUCAAAAUGAAUCAAAGUUUUAGAAAAAUUAUGAAAGUGCAAUGUUUUCAAGGUACAACCAUCUGUCUAGAUAUUACAUAAUUAAUAUUAUAAUUUCUAUGUUGAUUGUCUUUAUAUAUUUCUUCUACAAAAUAUUUUAGAACAGUACAAAAUCUAUAUAUUAGAAAAGACAAAAGUUUGAAAUCAUUAAGAUGUAUCAGGUUUUUUUUUAAAUGACAAUUUAUGUUGUUUGGGAUAUUUUUUAAAUGCACAACUUGAGAAAAUUUGUUAAGUCAAAUAUACAGCCUCAUUUGAAUCUUUAGUUUCAAAAUGAAAAACAUACAGCAUAUAUUCCUUUGAUAUAUUAAAUGAAUUCAUAAAUUUCUUAGGAUUAUUUUGACAAAAAAACAACAAGAAGAGAAAUGAGUCCUUCAAGCAAAUAUUGUUUAGGCUAAAAGGGGCGGUUUGUUUCCAUGUAAAACUGGUCCUGUAUAUUUUGCUUUCCUUUUGUUAUUGUUACAGCACUAUUUGUGUCAAUAGAAAAUUUACUUUAUUGGUGGUUAAGUACCCAUACUAAAAUUCUACACACAAGUUAGAUUUUUCAUAUAGAGUUAUUUCAAUUUAAAGUAAAUCAUGGCCAUUUGAAUAUUCUAUAGACCACACAUGCAAUGACAAUGAAUUUACUAGUAUGGUAUGCUAAAAAUAUCAGAACAUUUAAUAAAUAUGUUAACAAAGCAUCUAUAUGAACAAUGACAAAAGAAAUGCCCUUUUCUACCAUAUAAAUUGUCUUAUGAUACGAUUUCAUUAAGUUAUGCACAAAACUGUUUGUUAACAUACAUAUAAAUGAAGAUAGAAUCUAAACCAAUUAAAACUAUGAGCAUUUAGAAUAUGAUUCUGAUGGUUUAAUGAACGUGACAAGACAUUAUAAAUUAACCCCUUUCACUCACAAUUUCUUACUAUAGAUAAUACCUGUCCAUCAUGUUAAGGUGGUACCCAACACUUUCCAAAAAUUAAUUU